UACAAAUAGGAGAUCUUGUACGUAUUCCUUCUGCCCAUACAAGUCAUGGGACAGCUGAAAAAUUGACUGAUUUUUUACUUCUAUACAAAUAAGCGAUCUUGUAGGUAUUCGUUCUACAUAUAAAAGUCGUCUCACAAAUGGUAGAUAAUCAAAUUAGUAAACUAAGUCACAAAGUUAAAAAGUAAUCACUAUCUUAAUG
rnacentral:lncRNA from 1 species